rnacentral:rRNA from 1 species
CCUACGGGAGGCAGCAGUGGGGAAUAUUGCACAAUGGGGGAAACCCUGAUGCAGCGACGCCGCGUGCGUGAAGAAGUAAUUCGGUAUGUAAAGCUCUAUUAGCAGGGAAGUAAAUGACGGUACGUGAGUAAGAAUCCCCGGCUAACUACGUGCCAGCAGCCGCGGUAAUACGUAGGGGGCCAGCGUUAUCCGGAUUUUCUGGGUGUAAAGGGAGCGUAGACGGCAGUGCAAGUCUGGAGUGAAAGGCGGGGGCUCAACCCCCGGACUGCUCUGGAAACUGUAGGGCUGGAGUUCAGGAGAGGUAAGUGGAAUGCCUGGUGUAGCGGUGAAAUGCGUAGAUAUUAGGCGGAACACCAAUGGCGAAGGCAGCUUACUGGACUGUAACUGACGUUGAGGCACGAAAGCGUGGGGAGCAAACAGGAUUAGAUACCCGAGUAGUC